rnacentral:rRNA from 1 species
UACGGGGGGAGCAAGCGUUGUUCGGAUUUACUGGGCGUAAGGGCGCGUAGGCGGUCAGCACAAGUCAGUUGUGAAAUCUCCGGGCCUAACUCGGAAAGGUCAACUGAUACUGUGCGACUAGAGUGCAGAAGGGGCAACUGGAAUUCUCGGUGUAGCGGUGAAAUGCGUAGAUAUCGAGAGGAACACCUGCGGCGAAGGCGGGUUGCUGGGCUGACACUGACGCUGAUGCGCGAAGCC